rnacentral:rRNA from 1 species
UACGUAGGGUGCAAGCGUUAAUCGGAAUUACUGGGCGUAAAGCGUGCGCAGGCGGUUCUGUAAGACCGAUGUGAAAUCCCCGGGCUUAACCUGGGAACUGCAUUGGUGACUGCAGGGCUAGAGUGUGUCAGAGGGAGGUGGAAUUCCGCGUGUAGCAGUGAAAUGCGUAGAGAUGCGGAGGAACACCGAUGGCGAAGGCAGCCUCCUGGGAUAACACUGACGCUCAG